rnacentral:rRNA from 1 species
UACGUAGGCAGCAAGCGUUGUUCGGAAUUACUGGGCGUAAAGAGUGUGUAGGCGGUGCUCCAAGUCUGGUGUGAAAUCUCCCGGCUCAACUGGGAGGGUGCAUUAGAAACUGGAAUGCUAGAGGAUGGGAGAGGUAAGCGGAAUUCCUGGUGUAGCGGUGAAAUGCGUAGAUAUCAGGAGGAACACCAAUAGCGAAGGCAGCUCGCUGGGACGUUUACUGACACUGAGGCGCGAAAGCGUGGGGAGCGAACAGG